rnacentral:rRNA from 1 species
GACGAACGCUGGCGGCGUGCUUAACACAUGCAAGUCGAACGGAAAGGCCCUGCUUUUGUGGGGUGCUCGAGUGGCGAACGGGUGAGUAACACGUGAGUAACCUGCCCUUGACUUUGGGAUAACUUCAGGAAACUGGGGCUAAUACCGGAUAGGAGCUCCUGCUGCAUGGUGGGGGUUGGAAAGUUUCGGCGGUUGGGGAUGGACUCGCGGCUUAUCAGCUUGUUGGUGGGGUAGUGGCUUACCAAGGCUUUGACGGGUAGCCGGCCUGAGAGGGUGACCGGCCACAUUGGGACUGAGAGACGGCCCAGACUCCUACGGGAGGCAGCAGUGGGGAGUAUUGCACAAGGGGCGGAAGCCUGAUGCAGCAACGCCGCGUGCGGGAUGACGGCCUUCGGGUUGUAAACCGCUUUCGCCUGUGACGAAGCGUGAGUGACGGUAAUGGGUAAAGAAGCACCGGCUAACUACGU